AUUAUUUUCGAAUAAUUCCUGGUGUACAGUAGAACUCCUACCGAAACUCACAUGGUAUGUGAGUAAAAAAUUGCAAAAAAUACCCAUUCCACACAAUACCCAUGUGAGUGUUCUGAAACAGUUUUGCCUCUUGUACAGAAGUCGGGUUCACAAAACCCAGCCAGAUAACUCACAAAGCUUGGGUCCCACCAAAAUUAAAAAUGCCAAAAAAUUAACUCACCCACGAUUAUGAGGUUUUGACAAGUUUCAUCUAUACACCAAGUGCUUAUCUUUCUGGGAUUUUUCCGUUCAAUCACUCAAAAUUUUAACCAUCACAUCAUCUCAAGUUAGGUUCUUCAUUAAAUCUGGAUACCCUGCGACGGCAGCAACUGUUGGAACAAAUGGUUUGUACUGCCUUCAGAGACACGCUUAAUCAAACAUCAAUUGGUGAUUUAAAGCAGAUGACAACUAAAAUUGGACAACUGUACCUCAAAAUAUUAGCUUCUCUGGUGUCUUUGAUUCUCUAGGAACUGUGCUCUCUAGGAUUUACUAAUAUUUGUUUAUAUUUGCAGCAUAUAAUAGAUCUGGUGAUAGUGAUAUUAUCAUAUGAUUGAAGAUGUAAGACGGCUUUGUGUUAUUUUUGGACAUGUUGAGAAGUUGGUUACAUUAGCAGCUUCUAUUCAUCGCAAGUUUUUGCAGAAGCAAUUUUCAGGGAUUAAUAUGACUACUACCAACGAAAUAUGGGAAGUGGCUCUGUGCAAGGUGACUCCAAGAAGUUAGUUAAGCUGUCACCGCUCAAAUUUUUUCUACAUUCAAAUCUUUGCUCAAGACAAGUUGACUAUCUAUCUUGAUGUUCUUUAUGGCCUCCAUUUUUGGUGCUCGAGAUACUUUUAAUUAGUCACAUUUAUACUUCCCAUUGCCAUUUUUCUUGUAUUUUCGUCUUCCUUUCCUAGGAGUUGAGGAAAAAGCAAGAAAUAAGGGCAGGUGAAAGAGACGUGGUUGCUGGCAUGUUUACUCUGCCAACUGCUAACCAGUCAUGGAGGAAAGUAUUGAGCAUGGGUAAUCUCCUUUACAGGCAUGAACCAAUUUUAAGGGAGAUAACAUUUCCAAACGCGAUCGAGUGAGCAAAAGUUAUUAUUCCGACUCUGCUUCUAAGUUUUAUCGAUGAAAUAUAAAAAUACAGAAUAUAUGUAUGCGAAACUUCAAAUGAUCUUAGGGUAGCACUUGUAGUUGCCUCUCGACUCUUGUGACUGAUAAUAUUCUCUUGAAACGUGUAUGUAUGUAGGUAUAUACAUAUUAUUCUUGCUUCUGCUGCGAAUAUAUUCAUGAAUUCAAAUCU